rnacentral:rRNA from 1 species
AUAGCGUACGUUAAAGUUGCUGCAGUUAAAAAGCUCGUAGUUGAACGUUCGGGUUCCGCGGGACGGGGCCGCCCCGCGAGGGACGGCGCCGCCCCGGGGCUCGUGAUAUCUUAUCUCGCCGCCCGUCGCGAGGCGGACGGAGGGAUGGAUGAGGUUACCUGGAAAAAAUCGGGGCGAUCUAGGCGGGCGAACCUCGCCAACGAACGAUCGGACAUGGGAUAACGGAAGAGGGCGUCGGCUCGACUUCGUCGGUUCCUCGGGCCGAGGCACGUACGGUGAAUAGGGACGGUCGGGGCCGCCCGUACCGGGUCGUGAGAGGUGAAAUUCUAGGAUCGACCCGAGACGAACUGCCGCGAAAGCAUUCGGCAAGGACGCUUUCAUUAAUCAAGAACGAAAGUCGGGGGAUCGAAGACGAUCAGAUACCGUCGUAGUCCCGACCGUAAACGAUGCCGACCGAGGGCCCGGAGGAGUUACGUACGACCCUCCGGGCCCUCCCGCGAGAAAUCAGGAGUAUUCGGGUUCCGGGG